GAUGAACGCUGGCGGCGUGCCUAAUACAUGCAAGUCGAGCGAAUGGAUUAAGAGCUUGCUCUUAUGAAGUUAGCGGCGGACGGGUGAGUAACACGUGGGUAACCUGCCCAUAAGACUGGGAUAACUCCGGGAAACCGGGGCUAACACCGGCUAACAUUUUGAACCGCAAGGUUCGAAAUUGAAAGGCGGCUUCGGCUGGCACUUAUGGAUGUACCCGCGUGGCAUUAGCUAGUUGGUGAGGUAACGGCUCACCAAGGCAACGAUGCGUAGCCGACCUGAGAGGGUGAUCGGCCACACUGGGACUGAGACACGGCCCAGACUCCUACGGGAGGCAGCAGUAGGGAAUCUUCCGCAAUGGACGAAAGUCUGACGGAGCAACGCCGCGUGAGUGAUGAAGGCUUUCGGGUCGUAAAACUCUGUUGUUAGGGAAGAACAAGUGCUAGUUGAAUAAGCUGGCACCUUGACGGUACCUAACCAGAAAGCCACGGCUAACUACGUGCCAGCCGCCGCAGUAA
rnacentral:rRNA from 1 species